AGGGAUCAUUAACACGUUCCAAACCAAUGUAUCAACCCAACUGUGAACUCUGUAUCCGCCUCACUGUCUCGCAAGGCGAGGUGAGGCUGAGGCCAGGAUGAAGGUGAGAGGCCGUCUGCUUCACAGCUGCGGCAGCUCAUACGGCCUCAGUCUCGCUGGCUCCCACACGGGGGCCUGCCUCGCACUGUGAGAUGAGGCCAACCAUAUAUGCGGUCAGCGCUUGUCAUCGUCGCUGCUCGUCAUAUCCACACGCCCGUUGUCGGUGGUGGUGCGGCGCGUCGAGCGCGGCACUCCGUCGAGAAUGACACUGUCAACUGUUGAUGUUGCGGCUUGCGGCUGCUGGUCAGCCCUGGCCGCCUCUGUCUCAGCCCGUAGCGGCUGACGACUGACGACGAACAACGACACAACUCUUAGCAAUGGAUAUCUUGGUUCUCGCAACGAUGAAGAACGCAGCGAAAUGCGAUAUGUAAUGCGAACUGCAGAAUUCAGUGAAUCAUCAAAUCUUUGAACGCAAGUUGCGCUCUCGGGAUAGACCUGGGAGCACGCCUCCUUGAGUAUCGGCUCACACCACUCAACCCUCACUGCACACCAGCAAUGACGUGCAGUGCCUAGGGUUGGACAAUGAGCGUCCAGUGCAGCCCACCGUGGUCGCGCUGGUCACUUGAAAUGCAUCGAGUUGCGACUCGGCUGCGGCCUGUGUUGUGUGUCCAACACACACACAGGCCGAUUGUUGCCUCCCUACUCGACUGGCUGUGUGCCAGUCUAGUCUCUGUUGCGCCGUGCUUGUCUGUAUUCAGUGUCUGCGAAGACACCGAGGCUGGCGAACGGUCUCAGCGAUGUGGAUAAUCUUGGGCGCUCAGCGUCACCAUAGUCUCAACAUCGUUCUGUGGACGCGUCGCACUGCUACCGCUGGUCGUCGUCGAGCACGACGGCCCGUGGUGUAUGACGAGAGUGCGCACCGUGGUACGAAGCGUAGUGGAGACACGUGCUGGUCACAGCGUCCCUAGCGUGGCAGUGCGUCACUGGUGUUGACCACUGGCCGCGCUACAGUCUGCCUGGCAGGCUGCCCCAACUCUGAACUCAGAUCUCAAGUGAAGCGGGAAGACCCCCUGAAUUUAAGCAUAUUAAUAAGGGGAGGAGAAGAAAAUAACCAUGAUACUCUCAGUAACGGCGAGUGAAGCGAGUAGAGCUCAAGUUGAGAAUCGAUCAUCCAAGCGGUUGUAUCGAGAUGUAGAGUCGCGACGUGGAGUCAGCGUGUGACCUGGAGACAAGUCUCUUGAAACAGAGCAUCAGGGAGGGUGAGAAUCCCGUGUUGCGCUCUUGUCGUUCGCCGCGUACGACCCAUGUUCACAGAGUCGAGUUGUUUGGGAUUGCAGCUCUAAUUGGGUGGUAAGUUUCAUCUAAAGCUAAAUAAUGGCGAGAGACCGAUAGCGAACAAGUACCGUGAGGGAAAGAUGAAAAGAACUUUGAAAAGAGAGUUAAAUAGUACUUGAAAUUGUUAAGAGGGAAGCGAUAGACACUAGUCGCGGUCGCGUCAAUUUGCGGACACCAGCGCGUGUCGUGCUGCUGCGUCAUUGGUCACUCUUGAGCUGCAGCGUGUGCGCGUGCCGGUGUCCGUUUCUGUGACGUGGCUUGGGUCAGCAUGGGUUCGGACGCGGACGAGAAAGUGGAGGGGAAGGUGAGCAUGGCUUGCCAUGCUGUUAUAGCCCCGCCAUGCUAGUCGGCUCUGGACUGAGGUGAAUCGAUGCGCCGCAGGCACAGCUUUGGC
rnacentral:rRNA from 1 species